CCUGACUACGCGGAAGCGCAGCGCCCCGGGGAGGAGCGGCGGUAGCGAGAGCUACCGCGACACCCUGCCUCGCAGCGGCAGGGCGGCCGCGCAUGCGCGCUAAGAGCGCCGGCACCCGGAUGUGGCGGUGGCCGCUCCCCCCCGCCGCGCCGCGCCACGGAGCGCCACGCCACGGCGCGCGGCGGCCGGGGCGGCUGAGGGGUGCGGGUGGGGCGCGGCGCGGCGCGGCGCGGCGGCGGGUGUGAGCCGGGUGUUGGCCUCCUCCGGCCAGGUGGAGGCGGGAGUAGAGCUAGAUUGCAUUUUCGGAUUAGUCCGUGGUCAAGUAACAGAUAUUACUCUUGUCUCGGUCGUUGUUACACUGAUGAAGGUGCUUAUUGUUUGCGACUCAACCUGAACUUUCUUUUCAACUGAAACGAACUGGAAGAUCAGGCAUCGCUUUUGGAGGGAAAACUUGUAGAGAUGUGAUUCAAGGCAUUGGCUUGCAUUUCCCAGCCUCGGCGCGAGUGAAGAAGGUGCAGAAGGCGGCUCUGCACGCAGUAAAGUGGUCCUUUUAAGCGCUGUUUUCAGCCUGAUAGCCAAGCGUGCUUUAUUAGCACAGGAGAUGUAAUAGUGCACAGAGGGAUAAGCAUAAUCAGAAUGCAGCAAAAUAGUUAUGAUGCAGCCAUCAUCAUAACCUCAAAAGUAAAAAUUCCACAAACUCUUAGACCGGUAACCCCAUGACAGUUUACAGCCAUAUUGCCAGCAGGUGUAUGAUGUAUAAGCAUUUGAAAGAAACCAACGUUGUUUAUAUAUUCUUACAAAGUGACUGAGUCAGGAACUUAUAUAGCUGUUCCCCUGUGUUACAAGGACUGUUGGAUGCUUCCUCAGAUUGUCUUGGUAAAAUGUGAGAGAAUGCUUCCAGAGGUGGCAGAAGUCCUAGAAACAAAAGAAGUAGACUUAAAUAAGGAUCAGUAAAUGCCCAAUAUAAAAAUUAAUUCUGCAAAAUG